AUGGAUGAACAAUACUGUCAACGUAAUUUUCUCUCUUCUUUUUAUUUUUCUGUUCAUUCUUCACUUUUUCUAUGCACCAAAGAGGGCCUUAACAUGUACUCCCUCCCUAAACUGAAAGUCCUCAGUCCUGAUAUAAAAUACUCCAGAUGCACCAAGAGUCCAGAAGAAGUAGAGUAUACCUUUGUCAUCAGAGGGUGGUGGAAAGAACUGCAGGUAGCAAACAGACGCAACCACCAUUCCUUCAUACACACGACAAACCUCGUCAGCAACAAAGAGAGUUCGAAGAUUUCCCGCAAAAACAUAAAUAGAAAAGAAAAUAGUUCAGAGAUAACAAAGAAUAGGCGCGAGCUUCUGACCAAGGAUGCCGCCGGCGAAGACGUCCUGCCAGUGGUGCCAGUAGUCAUCUACCCGCGAGAUGGCGAUGACGGCGGCGACGAGGAGAGGCAGGAUGACGACGCACAGCUUGGCGACGUGCCCUCGUCGGUCGAAGACGGUGAUCUUCCCGGCAAGGUACCACGACAGGAAACCCAGGCCGGCGAAAGACCCUGCACCACCGCACGACAACCAGAUUAUUAUCCUCGAGCACAUUGUACAGAGCACACGCAGAAAAAUCAUACACAGUUAUGUUAG
rnacentral:rRNA from 1 species